rnacentral:rRNA from 1 species
AACGAACGCUGGCGGCAUGCCUAACACAUGCAAGUCGAACGAGACCUUCGGGUCUAGUGGCGCUCGGGUGCGUAACGCGUGGGAACCUGCCCUUAGGUUCGGAAUAACUCCCCGAAAGGGGUGCUAAUACCGGAUAAUGUCUUCGGACCAAAGAUUUAUCGCCUUUGGAUGGGCCCGCGUUGGAUUAGCUAGUUGGUAGGGUAAAAGCCUACCAAGGCGACGAUCCAUAGCUGGUCUGAGAGGAGGAUCAGCGACACUGGGACGGAGACACGGCCCAGACUCGUACGGGAGGCAGCAGAAGGGAAACGUACGCAAUGGGCGAAAGCCUGACGGAGCAACGCCGCGUGAGUGAGGAAGGUCUUCGGAUCGUAAAACUCUGUUAUUAGGGAAGAACAUAUGUGUAAGUAACUGUGAAGAUAGGGACGGUACCUAAUGAGAAAGCCACGGCUAAAUACGUG